rnacentral:sRNA from 1 species
GUGGCUCCAGCGUGGUGUCCAUGUCCACACUGUACGUGCUGAGCCUGCGCACAGAGGAGGACCUGGUAGACACUGAUGGCAGGUCCAGCCAGAGCUUUGGGACCACGCAGCUCCGACAGUCCCCCGUGACCACUGGGCUACCAGGCAUACAGCCCUCUUUGCUGCUGGUGACCACCAGCCUCACCAGCUCAGCCCCAGGUUCUGCUGUCCGCACCUUGGACAUGUGUUCCAGCCACCCCUGCCCUGUCAUCUGCUGUUCCUCACCCACCACCAACCCUACCACUGGUCCUAGUCUUGGCCCCAGCUUUAACCCUGGCCAUGUUCUCAGCCCAAGUCCCAGCCCCAGCACCAACCGCUCAGGCCCCAGCCAGAUGGCCCUUCUGCCAGUCACCAACAUCAGAGCCAAGUCCUGGGGUCUUUCAGUCAAUGGCAUUGGCCACUCCAAGCAUCACAAGAGUCUGGAGCCUCUGGCCAGCCCUGCAGUCCCCUUCCCUGGGGGGCAGGGCAAAGCCAAGAACAGUCCCAGCCUUGGUUUCCAUGGCCGGGCCCGCCGAGGGGCCCUCCAGUCCAGCGUGGGCCCUGCUCAGCCCACCUGGGCCCAGGGCCAGUCAGAGCCGGUGCCCUCCCUGACCUCCAUCCAGGUGC